GGGCUUAGGUUAAACAAACCAGUAGCCUUCAAAGCUACUAAUAAGAGCUAAAACCUCUUAGACCCUG
rnacentral:tRNA from 1 species